AACGAACGCUGGCGGCAUGCCUAAUACAUGCAAGUCGAACGAAGGCUUCGGCCUUAGUGGCGCACGGGUGCGUAACGCGUGGGAAUCUACCCUUGGGUUCGGAAUAACAGUUAGAAAUGACUGCUAAUACCGGAUGAUGACGUAAGUCCAAAGAUUUAUCGCCCAAGGAUGAGCCCGCGUAAGAUUAGCUAGUUGGUGAGGUAAAGGCUCACCAAGGCUACGAUCUUUAGCUGGUCUGAGAGGAUGAUCAGCCACACUGGGACUGAGACACGGCCCAGACUCCUACGGGAGGCAGCAGUAGGGAAUAUUGGACAAUGGGCGAAAGCCUGAUCCAGCAAUGCCGCGUGAGUGAUGAAGGCCUUAGGGUUGUAAAGCUCUUUUACCCGAGAUGAUAAUGACAGUAUCGGGAAGAAUAAGCUCCGGCUAACUCCGUG
rnacentral:rRNA from 1 species